rnacentral:lncRNA from 1 species
CCCCACAGAGCCCCAUAGAACCCCAUAGAGACCCCACAGAGCCCCACAGAGCCCCAUAGAACCCCACAGCCCCCACAGAGCCUCAUAGGGCCCCACAGAACCCCACAAGGCCCCACAGAACCCCACAGAGCCCCAUAGAGACCCCAUAGAACCCCACAGAGCCACAUAGAGCCCCAUAGAGACCCCAUAGAGCCCCACAGAGCCCCAUAGAGACCCCAUAGAGACCCACAGAGCCCCACAGAGCCCCAUAGAGACCCCAUAGAACCCCACAGAGCCCCAUAGAGACCCCACAGAGCCCCAUAGGGCCCCACAGAGCCCCAUAGAACCCCACAGAGACCCAUAGAGACCCCAUAGAAGCCCACAGAGCCCCACAGAGACCCAUAGAGACCCCAUAGAGACCCCAUAGAACCCCACAGAGCCCCAUAGACACCCCACAGAGCCCCAUAGAGACCCCAUAGAACCCUACAGAGCUCCACAGAGCCCCAUAGAACCCCACAGAGCCCCAUAGAGACCCCAUAGAAGCCCAUAGAACCCCACAGAGCCCCAUAGAGACCCCAUAGAACCCCACAGAGCCCCAUAGAGACCCCACAGAGCCCCAUAGAGACCCCAUAGAGACACAUAGAGACCCCAUAGAACCCCACAGAGCCCCAUAGGGACCCCACAGAGACCCCACAGCCCCCACAGAGCCCCACAGAGCCCCAUAGAGACCCCACAGAGCCCCAUAGAGCCCCAUAGAGACCCCAUAGAGACUCCAUAGAACCCCACAGAGCCCCAUAGAGACUCCAUAGAACCCCACAGAGCCCCAUAGAAUUCCACAGAGACCCCACAGAGCCCCACAGAGACCCCACAGAGCCCCAUAGACACCCCACAGAGCCCCAUAGAGACCCCAUAGAACCCUACAGAGCCCCAUAGAGACCCCAUAGAGACCUCACAGCCCCCACAGAGCCCCAUAGAACCCCACACAGCCCCAUAGAGACACACAGAGCCCCAUAGAACCCCAUAGAGACCCCAUAGAACCCCACAGAGCCCCACAGAGCCCCAUAGAGACCCCACAGAGACCC